CAAUAGCGUAUAUUAAAGUUGUUGCAGUUAAAAAGCUCGUAGUUGGAUUUCUGGUAGGAGUGACCGUUCCGAACUUGAUUGUUCGUGUAUUGUGUUUUCUCCAGCCAUCCUUGUGGAGAACUUUUCUUGCAUUAAUUUGUAGGGAUUGGGACCCGCAUCGUUUACUGUGAAAAAAUUAGAGUGUUUAAAGCAGGCAAUCGCUUGAAUACAUUAGCAUGGAAUAAUAAGAUAGGACUUUGGUACUAUUUUGUUGGUUUGCAUACCAAAUUAAUGAUCAACAGGAACAGUUUGAGGAUAUUCGUAUGAACAUGACAGAGGUGAAAUUCUUGGAUUUUGAUCAGACGAACUACUGCGAAAGCAUUUAUCAAGGAUGUUUUCAUUAA
rnacentral:rRNA from 1 species